AUAUUUGUUAUAAUUAUUAAUUUUUUGAUUUUAUUUUUAAUAGUUUUUAUAAGAGUUGCUUUUUUUACUUUAUUAGAGCGUAAAGUUUUAGGUUAUAUUUCAAUUACGUAAAGGUCCGAAUAAGUUUUUGAUUAAAGGUAUUUUUCAACCUAUAGGUGAUGGGUUAAAAUUAUUUUUUAAAGAAGUUAAUUAUCCGAGUAAUAUAAAUUUUUUUAUUUUUAUAAUUUCUCCUUUAUUGGGUUUAUUAAUUUCAAUUUUUUUUUGAUUUAUUUAUCCUUAUAUUGGUAUGAACUAUAUUAUAGGAUUUGGUUUAAUUUAUAUAUUUUGUUGUUCAAGUUUAAUAGUUUAUAUUUUUUUAAUAAUUAGAUGAUCUUCGAAUUCUAAUUAUUCAGUUUUAGGUAUAAUUCGGUUUAUUUCUCAAAUGAUUUCAUAUGAAGUUAGAAUAAUAAUUAUUAUUAUAAAUUUAAUAUUUUUAAUUAAUAGUUUUAAUUUAAAUGAUUUUUAUAUCUAUCAAAUUAAUUUAAAAUUUUUUUUUUUUCUUUUUUUUUUGUUUAUUUUAUUAUUAAUUAGAUUUUUAGCUGAAAUAAAUCGUUCUCCUUUUGAUUUUUCUGAGGGUGAAUCAGAAUUAGUUUCUGGAUUUAAUAUUGAAUUUAGAAGUUUAUCUUUUAUUUUUAUUUUUAUAUCUGAAUAUAUAAGAAUUAUAUUUAUAGGGAUACUAUUAUGUGAAAUGUUUUUUGGUUUGAAUAAUAAAUAAAUUUUAUUUAAAUAUUUUUAUUUUGAUUUUUAUAUUUAUAGUUAUUUGAUUACGUGGGUUUUUACCACGAUUUCGUUAUGAUAAAUUAAUAUAUUUAGUUUGGAAAUUAAUUUUACCUUUGUCUUUAUUUUUAUUUGUCUUUAAUUUUUCUAUUAAAUUAUUUAACUUAUAUCAUUAAUUUAAGUAUUAAGUUAAUAGAAUUAAAUUCUAUUUUUUAUUUUCAAAAUAAAUAUUUUAAAUAAAUUAAUUAACUAAAUUAAUAAUUUAUCUCAUAACUUUAUGAUAUAAAAGUUAAUGAAAAAGUAAGAAAAAUAAAUUGUUGUAAAAAUUUGCCCUGUUGUAAUAAAUGGGUAUUCAACUGGUUGUAUCCCAAUUCAGGUUAAAAUAAAAAAUGUUAUAAUAAAUAUUCAGAAUAAAAAUUUAUUUAAUGGGUAAAAUUUAUUUCUUAAAAAAUUUUUAUUGUUUAAUAUAGGUAAGAUUAAUAAAAUUAAAAUUGAAAGUAUUAAAGCAAUAACCCCUCCUAAUUUAUUAGGGAUUGCUCGUAAAAUUGAAUAAGAAAAUAAAAAAUAUCAUUCUGGUUGAAUGUGAUUUGGUGUAAUUAUUGAAUUUGCUAUAAUAAAAUUAUUGUGAUCAUUUAGUAGGUAUGGAAAAAUUAAAGCUAAAAUAAAAAAUAUUCAUAUAAAUAUGAUUAAUCCAAUUAAAUCUUUAAUUAGAAAAUAUGGAGAAAAAGUAAUUUUAUCAAAAUUUCUAUUAAUUCCUAGUGGAUUAUUAGAACCUGUUAAAUGAAGAAAGAAUAAGUGAAUAAAAGUAAAUAAAAUAAUAAUAAAUGGUAAAAUAAAAUGGAUUGAGAAAAAUCGUGUUAAUGUAGCAUUAUUAAUUGAGAAUCCCCCUCAAAUUCAAAUAACAAUUGAAUUUCCUAAAUAAGGAAUUGCUGAUAAUAAAUUUGUGAUUACUGUUGCCCCCCAAAAUGAUAUUUGUCCUCAUGGUAAUACAUAACCUACAAAUGCUGUUAUUAUUGUUAAUAAUAAUAAAAUUACUCCAAUAAUUCAUGUUAUUUUAAAGUUGAAAGAAUUUAUAUAGAUACCUCGUCUAAUAUGAAUAUAAAU